rnacentral:rRNA from 1 species
AUUGAACGCUGGCGGCAGGCUUAACACAUGCAAGUCGAGCGAGCGGCGGACGGGUGAGUAAUGUCUGGGAAACUGCCUGAUGGAGGGGGAUAACUACUGGAAACGGUAGCUAAUACCGCAUACCAUCAGAUGUGCCCAGAUGGGAUUAGCGAGUGGGUGGGGUAAUGGCUCACCUAGGCGACGAUCGCUAGCUGGUCUGAGAGGAUGACCGGCCACACGGGAACUGGGACACGGUCCAGACGCCUACGGGAGGAAGAAGUGGGGAAUAUUGCACAAUGGGCGCAAGCCUGAUGCAGAAAGGCCGCGUGUGGGAAGAAGGCCUCCGGGUGGUAAAGCACGUUAAGCGAGGAGGCGUUACCCGCAGAAGAAGCACCGGCUAACUACGUGCCAGCAGCCGCGGUAAUAC